rnacentral:tRNA from 1 species
AAUAAAAUGCCUGAUAAAAGGGUUAUCUUGAUAGGAUAAAUAAUAUACUUUAUAGUAUUUUUAUUA